AUUGAACGCUGGCGGCAUGCUUUACACAUGCAAGUCGAACGGUAACAGGCCGCAAGGUGCUGACGAGUGGCGAACGGGUGAGUAAUGCAUCGGAACGUGCCCAGUCGUGGGGGAUAACGCAGCGAAAGCUGUGCUGAUACCGCAUACGAUCUAUGGAUGAAAGCGGGGGACCGUAAGGCCUCGCGCGAUUGGAGCGGCCGAUGUCAGAUUAGGUAGUUGGUGGGGUGAAGGCUCACCAAGCCGACGAUCUGUAGCUGGUCUGAGAGGACGACCAGCCACACUGGGACUGAGACACGGCCCAGACUCCUACGGGAGGCAGCAGUGGGGAAUUUUGGACAAUGGGCGAAAGCCUGAUCCAGCCAUGCCGCGUGCAGGAUGAAGGCCUUCGGGUUGUAAACUGCUUUUGUACGGAACGAAAAGGUUUGGGCUAAUAAGCUGAGCUCAUGACGGUACCGUAAGAAUAAGCACCGGCUAACUACGUGCCAGCCGCCGCGGUAA
rnacentral:rRNA from 1 species